rnacentral:rRNA from 1 species
UACGGAGGGUGCGAGCGUUGUUCGGAAUCACUGGGCGUAAAGGGCGUGUAGGCGGUCCGCUAAGUCUGAUGUGAAAGCCCGGGGCUCACCCCCGGAAGGGCAUUGGAAACUGACGGACUCGAGUCCCGAAGAGGAGGGUGGAAUUCCUGGUGUAGCGGUGAAAUGCGCAGAUAUCGGGAGGAACACCAAUGGCGAAGGCAGCUCGCUGGGACGUGACUGACGCUGAGGUGCGAAAGCGUGGGGAGCAAACAGG